GAUGAACGCUGGCGGCGUGCCUAAUACAUGCAAGUCGAGCGAACGGACGAGAAGCUUGCUUCUCUGAUGUUAGCGGCGGACGGGUGAGUAACACGUGGAUAACCUACCUAUAAGACCGGGAUAACUUCGGGAAACCGGAGCUAAUACCGGAUAAUAUUUUGAACCGCAUGGUUCAAAAGUGAAAGACGGUCUUGCUGUCACUUAUAGAUGGAUCCGCGCUGCAUUAGCUAGUUGGUAAGGUAACGGCUUACCAAGGCAACGAUGCAUAGCCGACCUGAGAGGGUGAUCGGCCACACUGGAACUGAGACACGGUCCAGACUCCUACGGGAGGCAGCAGUAGGGAAUCUUCCGCAAUGGGCGAAAGCCUGACGGAGCAACGCCGAGUGAGUGAUGAAGGUCUUCGGAUCGUAAAACUCUGUUAUUAGGGAAGAACAUAUGUGUAAGUAACUGUGCACAUCUUGACGGUACCUAAUCAGAAAGCCACGGCUAACUACGUG
rnacentral:rRNA from 1 species